rnacentral:lncRNA from 1 species
UAAAUUUCGAACGAAUCAAUGUCAACGUUCACAAGAACCAAAAUCGGAACAACAUUAGGCAACUCAGUUGCGCCAUAACAGUAUAACUUUGCAACGAGUACUUUUUCUCAUUCAAUCGAACAAAGAGUAAAACAUAAUUAUAUUAUUCUAUUCUGCCCCAAGAGCGUACAUUUGCAACGAUUCGAUGUCAACGUUCACAAGAACCAAAGCCGGAACAACAUUAGACUACUCACUUGCGCCCAGCGCCCUAGCAGUAUAACUUUGCAUCGAGUACUUUUUCUCAUUCUAUCGAACAAAGCGUAAAACCUAAUUAUAUUGUUCUAUUAUGGGUAAAUUUUGAACGAAUCGAUACCAAUAUUCACAGAACCAAAACCGGAACAACAUUAGACCUCUCAGUUGCGCCCUAACAGUAUAACUAUGCAACGAGUACAUUUUCUCAUUUAACCGAACAAAGUGGAAAACCUAAUUAUAUUGUUCUAUUAAGCCCCAAGAGUGUAAAGAUGGACGAAUCGAUGUCAACGUUCACAAGAACCCAAAUCGGAACAAUAUUAAGCCCCGCGACCAACCGCCAAUUUGGACCGGGUCGCGGCGCCGCCGACAGACCGCCGAACGGACCGGGAAUUCCCCUGUACGUGGACAGAGUCUCCCCAGUACGUCCAAGGCGUCGCAAUCCAAACAAUCAACGAAUGUUCUAACAAGGAACGGAUAUCAAUCCAGAUUGCAUAAGGAAGUAUCAAAUACAUAAUCUACUUGCUAUUACAAGUAGAUUUAUUUCACAACCACGUUUUACAUCACAGUUUCAGUUUACAUUUUUACUUCCGAAUUACAAUCUCACUAUUACAUCAGAGUUUACGAGUUUGAUACAUUUCUUUUCUUGUCUUCUAGACCCCUAAGCUAGACUGUCUCAGGGUACUGCUACCUCGGUCUCUUUGGUAGGGCGCUAUCUACUGAGCUACGCCCUCGCCUCGCACCGCCGCGUGGCACACGAACGACCUGAAAACCCCAAAACAACGUGGGGUGAGAACCAACUCCAUGGUUCCCAAUGGAUACGGCCACCCAAGGGAAAAGCUCGACCGAUAGGUCCGAGGAGGCACUGCAACAUGUUAGCUCAACAAUAUACAACAAAUAUAUAUAUUCAAUUGAAAUACAUGCCCUGCCUCACAAUAUGCGAUAUGAAAAUCAUGCAAUAACUAAUACAUCAUUUGAAUUCUACUUUUACUUGGCUACUUUAGCUCAUAAUUUUGCAACGAGUACUUUUUCUCAUUCAAUCGAACAAAGAGUAAAACCUAAUUAUCUUGUUCUAUUUUGCCUCGAGAGGGUAAAUUUCGAACGAAUCGAUGUCAACGUUCACAAGAACCAAAAUCGGAACAACAUUAGGCAACUCAGUUGCGCCAUAACAGUAUAACUUUGCAACGAGUACUUUUUCUCAUUCAAUCGAACAAACCGUUAAACCUAAUUAUAUUGUUCUAUUAUGCCCCGAGAGUGUAAAUUUCGAAUGAAUCGAUGUCAACGUUCACAACAACCAAAGCCGGAACAACAUUAGACUUUUCAGUUGAGCCCUAACAGUAUAACUUUGCAACGAGUACUUUUUCUCAUUCAAUCGAACAAAGAGUAAAACCUUAUUAUCUCAUACUAUUUUGCCUCGAGAGGGUAAAUUUCGAACGAAUCGAAGUCAACGUUCACAGGAACCAAAACCGGAACAAUAUUAGAAUACUCAGUUGCGCCCUAACAGUAUAACUUUGCAACGAGUACUUUUUCUCAUUCAAUCGAACAAACAGUUAAACCUAAUUACAUUGUUCUAUUAUGCCCCGAGUGUGUAAAUUUCGAAUGAAUCGAUGUCAACGUUCACAAUAACCAAAGCGGGAACAACAUUAGACUACUUAGUUGCGCCCUAACAGUAUAACUUUGCAACGAGUACUUUUUCUCAUUCAAUCGAACAAAGAGUAAAAGCUAAUUAUCUUGUUCUAUUUUGCUUCGAGAAGGUAAAUUUCAAGCGAAUCGAUGUCAACGUUCACAAGAACCAAAGCCGGAACAACAUUAGACUACUCACUUGCGCCCUAACAGUAUAACUUUGCAUCGAGUACUUUUUCUCAUUCAAUCGAACAAAGAGUAAAACCUAAUUAUCUUAUUCUAUUUUGCUUCGAGAGGGUAAAUUUCGAACGAAUCGAUGUCAACGUUCACAAGAACCAAAAUAGGAACAACAUUAGACUACUAAGUUGCGCCAUAACAGUAUAACUUUGCAACGAGUACUUUUUCUCAUUCAAUCGAGCAAAGUGUAAAACCUAAUUAUAUUGUUCUAUUAAGCCCCAAGAGUGUAAAGAAGGACGAAUCGAUGUCAACGUUCACAAGAACCAAAAUCGGAGCAACAUUAGAAUACUCAGUUGCGCCCUAAGUGUAUAACUUUGCAACGAGUACUUUUUCUCAUUCUAUCGAACGAAGAGCAAAAGCUAAUUAUACUGUUCUAUUAUUCCCCGAGAGCGUAAAUUUGGAACGAAUCGACGUCAACGUUCACAGGAACCAAAACCGGAAUAACAUUACAAUACUCAGUUGUGCCCUAACAGUAUAACUUUGCAACGCGUACUUUUUCUCAUUCAAUCGAACAAACAGUUAAACCUAAUUAUAUUGUUCUAUUAUGCCCCGAGAGUGUAAAUUUCGAAUGAAUCGAUGUCAACGUUCACAAUAACCAAAGCCGGAACAACAUUAGACUACUCAGUUGAGCCCUAACAGUAUAACUUUGCAACGACUACUUCUUCUCAUUCAAUCGAACAAAGAGUAAAACUUAAUUAUCUUGUUCAAUUUUGCCUCGAAAGGGUAAAUUUCGAACGAAUCGAUGUCAACGUUCACAAGAACCAAAAUCGGAACAACAUUAGGCAACUCAGUUGCGCCAUAACAGUAUAACUUUGCAACGAGUACUUUUUCUCAUUCAAUCGAACAAAUCGUUAAACCUUAUAUUGUUCUAUUAUGCCCCGAGAGUGUAAAUUUCGAAUGAAUCGAUGUCAACGUUCACAAUAACCAAAGCCGGAACAACAUUAGACUACUUAGUUGCGCCCUAACAGUAUAACUUUGCAACGAGUACUUUUUCUCAUUCAAUCGAACAAAAAGUAAAACCUAAUUAUCUUGUUCUAUUUUGCUUCGAGAGGGUAAAUUUCGAGCGAAUCGAUGUCAACGUCCAUAAGAACCAAAAUCGGAACAAUAUUAGACUACUCAGAUGCGCCAUAACAGCAUAACUUUGCAACGAGUACUUUUUCUCAUUCAAUCGAACAAACAGUUAAACCUAAUUAUAUUGUUCUAUUAAGCCCCAAGAGUGUAAAGAUGGACGAAUCGAUGUCAACGUUCACAAGAACCAAAAUCGGAACAAC